rnacentral:lncRNA from 1 species
CAGCCAAAAAGGAGAUAUUAAAGAUGGGAAUCAGAAAGUGACACAACGCAUAGGCAACAAGCAAAUUCACAUCACAUGGGAGUGGGACUGUGACUGUCCCAAUUUAUCUUGUUUUCUUCACUUUGGUUUUUACUGCAACAAGUCCGUUCGUAUCAGCUCUACUAUUUACAGAGCAUGAUCGGUAGUACGUUAGUAUUGCUUGUAUGGUCAUCAUGGGUACCCACCCUUGUAAUGUAGAGGUUUUUGUUUUUGCUUUUUUUUUUACCAACGAUAUUAUCUACACUACUUUAGUAUUGCUUGUAUGGUCAUCAUGUGUUGUAGGGCUGGGCACGGGCCGGGCCCAAUUUUGA